rnacentral:rRNA from 1 species
AGAAUCAACGCUGGCGGCGUGCCUAACACAUGCAAGUCGAACGCGAAAGUGGAGCAAUCCAUGAGUAGAGUGGCAAACGGGUGAGUAACACGUGGGUGACCUGCCUUCGAGCGGGGGAUAACGUCCCGAAAGGGACGCUAAUACCGCAUAACAUCCUGCCUUUUAAGAGGUGGAGAUCAAAGCCGGGGAUCGCAAGACCUGGCACUUGAAGAGGGGCCCGCGCCUGAUUAGCUAGUUGGUGGGUAAGUGGCUCACCAAGGCAACGAUCA